rnacentral:rRNA from 1 species
UACGGGAGGCAGCAGUGGGGAAUAUUGCACAAUGGGCGCAAGCCUGAUGCAGCCAUGCCGCGUGUAUGAAGAAGGCCUUCGGGUUGUAAAGUACUUUCAGCGGGGAGGAAGGCGAUGCGGUUAAUAACCGCGUCGAUUGACGUUACCCGCAGAAGAAGCACCGGCUAACUCCGUGCCAGCAGCCGCGGUAAUACGGAGGGUGCAAGCGUUAAUCGGAAUUACUGGGCGUAAAGCGCACGCAGGCGGUCUGUUAAGUCAGAUGUGAAAUCCCCGGGCUUAACCUGGGAACUGCAUUUUGAAACUGGCAGGCUUGAGUCUUGUAGAGGGGGUGAAUUCCAGGUGUAGCGGUGAAAUGCGUAGAGAUCUGGAGGAAUACCGGUGGCGAAGGCGGCCCCUGGGACAAGACUGACGCUCAGGGUGCGAAAGCUGGGGAGCAAACGAGGAUUAGGAUACC